GACGAACGCUGGCGGCGUGCCUAAUACAUGCAAGUCGAACGCGAGCACUUGUGCUCGAGUGGCGAACGGGUGAGUAAUACAUAAGUAACCUGCCCUAGACAGGGGGAUAACUAUUGGAGACGAUAGCUAAGACCGCAUAGGUACGGACACUGCAUGGUGACCGUAUUAAAGUGCCUCAAAGCACUGGUAGAGGAUGGACUUAUGGCGCAUUAGCUGGUUGGCGGGGUAACGGCCCACCAAGGCGACGAUGCGUAGCCGACCUGAGAGGGUGACCGGCCACACUGGGACUGAGACACGGCCCAA
rnacentral:rRNA from 1 species